UGGCGCCGGAGUCGCCGGCGCUUAGCGGGGCGGCGGUUACAAUCUCGGUGAAUGUGGAGUGCUCGCGAAGCUCGACGCCGGCAACUUCUAUGCUUCCCUUUGCGAAUUGGCCGCCUGCGAGAAAGGCUUUUUUUAUCAGAAAGGACACCAUCUAUUCCAUUAUUGCAACUUCAACCCUUACACCUUCAUCCGCCAGCUCGCCGCCGACGACCAAUCCACCCACUUCUCCGACCGACAUCAAGCUCCACCGCCGUGGAUAUUACAUACAAACCAUGCAUAACAAUAACUACCAUUGAAUUAACUAAGUUCGUAGGAAGGAAACAGACAUACCUUGAACGGCGACGGCCUCGCGUUCAUGGAAGCAAAGAGAGAAGAAGAAGAAGAAGAAGAAGAGGGGAAGUAAGCUCCAGCAAGAAGCCAUUAGCUGCGAUACUGAUUCAGAGAAAGAGAAACAUAUAUAGAGUUUAAAAGAGAGGUGGAGAAGUCGAUAUAGCUAUCAGCGACUGGCCCGCAAUAUUUGGAAAAGCAUCCCCGUGAAGAAACGGGCUUUUCUGAUAAAGACGGUAGCUUCUCCGCCUUGAACGGUACCUUGUUUUCAUUUUUUAUUUUGUUAUUCAGCAAUUACUGAGGAAGAGUGUCAAUAAAAAAUAGAUUAUUAUGCGUCUGAAUUUAUGGGCAAAUUAUUAGGUCGGGUUGUAGCACAGAGAGAAUUAUAUGAAUUUCUCUUUAUCUACAAUAAAAAUACUGUCAAAACGCAAUCUAAGUGCAGCUACUACAGCAUAGCUGUGAUUGGACUACAUUUUGACUGUGCUUUACUAUAGAUAGAGAGAAAUUCGGAUAUAUCUGUAUCAGGUGACCGAACCUAAUAAUUUUCCAAAUUUAUGAGAUACACAAUAAAUAUAUAGUAAAUACACAUAACUGUA